rnacentral:rRNA from 1 species
CAGUACCCACUGACGAAAAAUCGUAGAGACAGUUAAGCGAUCGUAGAGCGGAUUGGGUAGAGCGCGCUCCUGGACCUCUGCCGCCGCGCCCUCGCUCCUGGACCGCUGCUACGGCCGCGCUCGUGGACUUCCACUACGGCGGCCACGCACCAAUACCUCCGCUUCGGGGUAGAAACGAACCAGCGACACCGGUGAGGGAGUGCCGGGACGGCUGCGGCCGCGCUCCAGGACUACUAUGGCUGGGAUCCACCUCCGGGGCCGACGCGAACCGGCAUCACCACACGGUUGCGUCGUUCCAUAGAGAAAGGGACGGGAGUACAGAAGGAAGGUAGGGAGGUAGGUACUACAAUCAAGACGGCCGCCGCAUGUUUGACGAACAACGUCCGAACGUCGUGGAAGAAUAUAUGUAGGUCAAUCCCAACUCGUCACUCGUGUGGAGUAAAUCUAUAAGGUCAUGAAUGACUUUAACCACCUCUUGUUUGUGACUGGAGACUUAACGGAUAGAAACUAAUGUUUUACAACCAUUGUAUCAAAGUGAAACAACUACCUAAUCAGACACACCAGUCUGUAGAGAGCCUCAGAACCAAUCCUACCGUCUCUCUACGAUACAGACACCUGACUAAGUACGCAUUAAUUCGACGGACCACUACUUUUUAUCCACGUUGAACUUCAGUACGGAACAAUACAUAAGGAACAGUACUAUUUCAAAAGUCUUGAUACUUUCCAACACAAUAUACGACGAAUCUCUAACAUAUCGACCUUAGCGGAUUGUUAACAUCUUCUGUCAUACACAAUCUUGAUUAGAACAAUAAUCACGAUCUAAAUCUAAAACUCAGUACGUACAUCAGCACAAGUAGAUUAUCCGACGCCGGCACAUGAGUGUAUUUCUACUCUAGUACACACGCGUACGUUCGAUCAUCACCCAGUCGAAUUACUCAAUCAAUCGACCUGCACUCCAACAAUCGAUCGAACCCCGCACACAAACGUACAACCGGAUCAGAACACGGACCUCACUAAGAUCCUCACCCUCACUCCCAGUACACAAUCACCAAUCACCUCAUACGCACUCACCGUAUCCUCAGCCCGUCCAACAACGGGACCGUCACGCACACACUCAGAACACAUGACGGAUAAAUUUAACUGUUUACUUACUCUUUUCCGUCACUUCCGUCAUUGUUUUACAUCGCUUAUACAAGUGGUUCCUCUUCUCGGGCACCCGUUUCGAAACACGAGGAAGAACCAUCUACACACACACACAAGGGGACCACACACAUACACAGGAACACAAGUAGUCACAAGAACUCUCUUUGAUUCUCUCUUCUCUCUCAACACACUCUACUCCCUCUUCUUCUCGCCGCGACGUUCCUACGCCGCGGUUGUCAUACGUGACCAAAACACACAUGUAGUCACACAGUGUUUAAGUAUUAGACAUCAUAGUCAGAAGAGUCACGUUUUGACCCCUGAUGUUAAGGUACCGUGAGUUUACGACUCUUGAAGUUACUCAUUUAGAGUUCAGCAGUGACCUGAACAAGGUUCGAGUGACGGGUCGCGGAUGACGCCUGUAAGUCUAUAACUCUACACCUGGAGGCGACUACUUCUUUUGGUCCCAACGUUUGGAUCUGCUGGAACCCAUGUGGUUCCUCUACAUCAAGGUCAAGAUUGAAAGUUGCCACGUUGGAUAGUUUUAUUACCCAGCGUACCGGUAAGAUUAAUAAAAUUCUAUGGUAAAUCGAGCAUCGCCUUUUUCUUUGAGGUAUCAGGUACUUCACGGUAAACACUAAUUACUAUCGUUUGGAUUAACUCUCCAACACAGUGACAUGGCACGGUCAGUAUAUUACGUACGACAACACAGUGAACACA